UACAGAGGGUGCAAGCGUUAAUCGGAAUUACUGGGCGUAAAGCGCGCAUAGGUGGUUUGGCAAGUUGGAUGUGAAAGCCCUGGGCUCAACCUGGGAACUGCAUCCAAAACUGCCAGGCUAGAGUACGGUAGAGGGUGGUGGAAUUUCCUGUGUAGCGGUGAAAUGCGUAGAUAUAGGAAGGAACACCAGUGGCGAAGGCGCCCACCUGGACUGAUACUGACACUGAGGUUCGAAAGCGUGGGGAGCAAACAGG
rnacentral:misc_RNA from 1 species